rnacentral:rRNA from 1 species
CAUAGGUAUCUGCCUAGUAGUGGGGGACAACCUGGUGAAAACCAGGCUAAUACCGCAUGAGAACUACGGUUGAAAGGUGGCCUCUCCUUGGAAGCUAUCGCUAUUAGAUGAGCCUAUGUCAGAUUAGCUAGUUGGUAGGGUAAUGGCCUACCAAGGCGACGAUCUGUAGCUGGUCUGAGAGGACGAUCAGCCACACUGGGACUGAGACACGGCCCAG